GCUGCGGUGGCCAAGUGGUUAGAGCGUCUGCCGCAGAUGCGGGAGGUCGCGGGUUCAAACCCCGGUCGGGUCA